rnacentral:rRNA from 1 species
CCCUGGCUCAGGACGAACGCGGGCGGCGUGCCUUAAUACAUGCAAGUCGAGCGGAAUGAUGAAGAAGCUUGCUUCUUCUGAUUUUAGCGGCGGACGGGUGAGUAACACGUGGGCAACCUACCUUGUAGAUUGGGAUAACUCCGGGAAACCGGGGCUAAUACCGAAUAAUCCAUUUUGCUUCAUGGCAAGAUGUUGAAAGGCGGCUUCGGCUGUCACUACGAGAUGGGCCCGCGGCGUAUUAGCUAGUUGGUAGGGUAAUGGCCUACCAAGGCGACGAUACGUAGCCGACCUGAGAGGGUGAUCGGCCACACUGGGACUGAGACACGGCCCAGACUCCUACGGGAGGCAGCAGUAGGGAAUCUUCCACAAUGGACGAAAGUCUGAUGGAGCAACGCCGCGUGAGUGAAGAAGGUUUUCGGAUCGUAAAACUCUGUUGUAAGGGAAGAACACGUACGAGAGUAACUGCUCGUACCUUGACGGUACCUUAUUAGAAAGCCACGGCUAA